rnacentral:rRNA from 1 species
GAUGAACGCUGGCGGCGUGCCUAAUACAUGCAAGUCGAACGGACAGAUCAUGAGCUUGUUCCUUUGACGUUUGCGGCAGGCGGGUGUGUAACGCGUGGAUAACCUACUUGUCUUUCGGGUAUCAUUCCGGAAAACCGGUUAAUAUCCCAUAUAACCUUUAGAACCGGGGUGUUGUUUAGAUAGUGAUGGCUUUGCUGUCUGUACUCGCUGGUCCCGCGCCGGAUUGGCUAGUUGGUAAGGUCACAGCCUACCAAGGCAACGAUACGUAGCCGGCCUGAGAGGGGGAUCGGCCACACUGGAACGGAGACACGGUCCAGACUCCUAAGGGAGGCAGCAGUAGGGAAUCUGAGGCAAUGGGCGAAAGCCUGACGGAGCAACGCCGCGUGAGUGAUGAAGGCCUUCGGAUCGUAAAACUCUGUUAUUAGGGAAGAACAAAUGUGGAAGUAACCGUGCACGUCUUGACGGUACCUAAUCAGAAAGCAACGGCUAACUACGUG